rnacentral:rRNA from 1 species
GAGAAGAUAGUGGCGAACGGGUGGAGUAACACGUGGGUAACCUGCCCAUAAGAGGGGGGAGUAACAAUCCGGAAACGGGUGGCUAAUACCGCAUAGUUUCUUGAUUGCAUGAUUGAGAAAGGAAAGACGGCCGUUUGUGCUGUCGCUUAUGGAUGGACCCGCGGCGUAUUAGUUAGUUGGUGAGGUAACGGCUCACCAAGACGAUGAUACGUAGCCGACCUGAGAGGGUGAUCGGCCACAUUGGGACUGAGACACGGCCCAAACUCCUACGGGAGGCAGCAGUAGGGAAUCUUCCGCAAUGGACGAAAGUCUGACGGAGCAACGCCGCGUGAGUGAAAGAAGGUUUUCGGAUCGUAAAACUCUGUUGUCAGAGAAGAACAAGUUGGAGAGUAACUGCUCCAGCCUUGACGGUAUCUGACCAGAAAGCCACGGCUAACUACGUGCCAGCCGCCGC